ACGCGGAAACUCACCAGAUAAGACAGCUGAAUGAUAGUCGGGCUGAAGACUCUACUUGAUUAGCUGAGAGGUGUGCAUGGCCGUCGUCAGUUCGUACUGUGAAGCAUCCUGUUAAGUCGGGCAACGAGCGAGACCCACGCCCACAGUUGCCAGCGUACUCUCUGGAGUGACGGGUACACUGUGGGACCGCCGCUGCUAAAGCGGAGGAAGGAAUGGGCAACGGUAGGUCAGUAUGCCCCGAAUAUCCCGGGCUACACGCGAGCUACAAUGGUUGGUACAAUGGGUAUCUACCCCGAAAGGGGACGGGAAUCUCCUAAAACCAAUCUUAGUUCGGAUUGAGGGCUGCAACUCGCCCUCAUGAAGCUGGAAUCCGUAGUAAUCGCGUUUCAACAGAACGCGGUGAAUACGUCCCUGCUCCUU
rnacentral:rRNA from 1 species